AGUCCAGUAGUGCGAAGCACGUCGAAUUGCAAAUUCGAAGACGCCGCCGAUUAUCGCGGCCCGGACU
rnacentral:tRNA from 1 species